UCGUAACAAGGUUUCCGUAGGUGAACCUGCGGAAGGAUCAUUACUGAUUUGCUUAUUGCACCACAUGUGUUUUUCUUUGAAACAAACUUGCUUUGGCGGUGGGCCCAGCCUGCCGCCAGAGGUCUAAACUUACAACCAAUUUUUUAUCAACUUGUCACACCAGAUUAUUACUAAUAGUCAAAACUUUCAACAACGGAUCUCUUGGUUCUCGCAUCGAUGAAGAACGCAGCGAAAUGCGAUACGUAAUAUGAAUUGCAGAUAUUCGUGAAUCAUCGAAUCUUUGAACGCACAUUGCGCCCUCUGGUAUUCCGGAGGGCAUGCCUGUUUGAGCGUCGUUUCUCCCUCAAACCGCUGGGUUUGGUGUUGAGCAAUACGACUUGGGUUUGCUUGAAAGACGGUAGUGGUAAGGCGGGAUCGCUUUGACAAUGGCUUAGGUCUAACCAAAAACAUUGCUUGCGGCGGUAACGUCCACCACGUAUAUCUUCAAACUUUGACCUCAAAUCAGGUAGGACUACCCGCUGAACCUAAGCAUAUCA
rnacentral:misc_RNA from 1 species